AGCCCGACACCCCUCGGAGAGUCCUCCAAGGUGCCUGAGUUGCACCCCGCUGUCGCUCUGUCCCCUCCAACUAGGUGCAGGGACCUGGGGAGGCGCGCGAGGACCGACUGGUCACCGCUAAAAUUACCUCAUCGCCUCAGCUCCCCGCCCCUUUCCCAAACCUGGAAGAACUGUCCCCUGCGGCCCGGGUCUCCCCUCCCGCCCUCCGCCCCCCGCCCCACCCCGAUCGCAAGCGAGUCUUUGGGAAGCGCGCCCGCCUCCCCCGGGGCCGCCCAGCCCGGCGGCGCGCAGCGAAGGGUUAAGGGCGCGGGCCGGCUGCUGCGCCGUGCGCUCGCGGUGCUCCGAGCCGCUCGCCCCGCCGCCCGCCAGAGGGUGCCCCCCCGCCCCCAAGUCGGAUCCUUGAGCUGCGACGGCGGCAGCCAACUGCUCCAUAUUUGGCUUCUAUUACACAUUUACAUACUGGAGCGAGCGAGCGAGCGAGAGAGCGCGAGAGAGCGCGAGGGAGGGAGGGAGGGAGCGAGGGAGGGCGGGCGGAGGGAGGAGGGAGGGGAGGGGAGCGGGGGGAGGAGGAGGAGGAGAGAGCAGAGUAUACCGCAGACAUCAUUUCUACUACAGUGGCGGAGCCGUACAGGACCUGUUUCACUGCAGGGGGAUCCAAAACAAGCCCCGUGGAGCAGCCGCCAGAGCUACAGCAGCCGCAAGACACUGUUUCUCUCCCUCUGCCCCCCCUUCCCCACGCAACCCCAGAUCCAUUUACACUUUACAGAGCAUCGUGCAGCAAGUCACCAGGGUGGUCCCUUCAAGCUGCAGAUUUGUGUGUCAUCCUUGUACCACAGUCUCCUCCUCUACGGCCACUACAGGGAAGUCCAUCACAUAUCAGAUUAGGAGGCUCUGACGCUGACAUAUGACUAACUGAGAAGCUCCUCCCCACAACAGUUGUAUGUCAUCUGCUUCAGAGAACUAAUUGCUUGGCAAUUCCCCUUUGGUAAUUCCCUCUUUAUUUUCUGAUGAGUUACUUAACAGUGAUGGGCUUGUUGAGCCGAGCGUUGAGUUUAAUGUGUGCUCCAGAAACACCACUGUAGGCCUGGGGGAUAUGUUUUUCGAAUUCUGUUUAGCUUUACUGAAGGAACACUGAAACCAUUAUAUGGCCUGUUAAUAUUUCACUCACUACGAGGUUAAACACUGAACGGUGUGCAAUUUUCCGAAAGAAAUCAAAACCGGGCUUCGUUUUUAAAGGUGCCCCUGUGCAUUUGAAAAUUAUUAAAGAGGAAUUUAAUAUGUAUCCAGUGUUCAAUGCUUUUUUAAAAAUUCAAUUUGAAGUGGAAGAGCUCUCUGGGAUUCUGCAGAGUGAGUGUGGGAUGGGGGAAAGCAGUUGCAAUGGGAGUCUGGAAACUGAGUUAUCUGUUUCUUGCCCUGCUGCGGGGUGACUUGGGCUGCUCACUCUAUCUUGCUGGGCCUCAGUUUCCCCAUCUUCAAAAAAAUGGAGAAACGAUCAUUGAAAGAAAUGAUCUCUCAGGCCCCUUCGGUCUAACCCUGUCCAGGUCUGUGAAUAGAUUUUAUUGUAAUUCUUCCUCCCAGCCUCCCGCAAGACCUUUGCUCUGUCAAACAUCAUUUGCUCUUGUUUGACUUUGUUAGGUUUUGUAUUUAAUUAGAAUUUACGUUUUUAGCUAUUAUUGUGUCAUUAUUUAUAGAGUAAGUCUUAAGUGGUGCC
rnacentral:lncRNA from 1 species